CCCUCUGGUCAAUCAAGUCCCAAAGAGAGGCAAGCUAGUUAGUUAUUGUAAAAGCUCCAUGUGAGGAGCAUAUGGCAGUGUUCCCCUCUCUCUCUCUGGGGUUCUGCACGGCCUGGAGCACUUCUUGAUGGAGGCGAGUGCAGAGACCAAGAGCACCUCAACUGAUAGCUCCGGCCGGGCUCCAGGUGCACCGCAUCUGGGAGCCAAGCAUAAGGCGAGCCAUACAGAUAUCGCAUUGGUGACUUGGUGAGAGGUGGUUGACACUUGAGUUGACACCGGAGAUGGAUGGCAGUGACGGCGAACAUGGGAAUCAGUAAGGAUAAGGGGAGCGCACAGGUAUAUGCUCUAGGAAUCGUUGGUUAUCCCAAUUAGUGCUGGCAUUCAUUCAGGAAGAGAACUACCAUCAGAUAUUUAGUGGUGGUCAAAGAACAGUUGGGUGUACCAGUACAAGAGUGGUGGCUAAUUAGAUAGUGCACAUGGGCUCAAUAGAAAAGCAUUGUUAUUGCCAUCUAACCUUAAUGAAUGAUACUGAUACUACUCAUAUAGAAGCAUUCAUUAGAGUUGUUUGACUUGCUAAAGAAAAUUGUUAUCCAAUGACCGAGAGGGAGAAAGAUAUGAUCAAUUGGGAGGGUGGAGAGUACCUUAUCUUUCUUUUGGUCUUGCAUAAAAAGGAAAAGGUCAUCAGGUACCCAGACUCGAGCCUUUUAACACCACAACGAACAAAAAGUUUUGGUACUGGCAAGGAGUCAUUGGAUGCGAUGACGCCCACGUAGCCAACUAGCCACAACUGAGGAAGCAAGAACCCAUGCCAUAGAUAGUGCCACUCCAAUUUUUUUUUUUGGCAAGACAAGGGAAAAGACUCUACAUCCUUGCAAUCCCUCAAAAGGAAAAUCCUCACAAAAAAGAUGGAACAAUGUGAACACUGAUAACUUUCUUCUUUAAAAGAAAGCAAUUGCUCUCAAGUAAGCCUGAGGUAUAGAAGGAGAUUUAAAUUUAGAACGAAUUCGCUGGGCUUAAGUUCUUUCCAGCAAAAAGCUGCUAAUGGGCUGCUCUUGAGGGUGGCUCAGGCUCGGUUGGACUUAACUUACACGAGGAAUCGUUAAGAUAUGCAACACAUAUACAUCAUUACAUGCUACUGAAUCCCUGACUC